rnacentral:misc_RNA from 1 species
UGCCGAGCUUUCACUACGCCACGAUUAAGCACAUCGUACCGUUGGUUAUAUUAUAACAAAGUACUUUUCUUGUUGUAAUGAACGUACACUAAUCCCAAUACACCACAUUAUUUCGUUCACUUGAAACGUGAACUAAGAAUUUGACUAGUUUUACUUAUUUUCCAUAAGCCUCACAGAGUGAAAGGAGAAUAUUCUUUGGCAAGGGUGGUUCUAGUUCCGUUUAAAGGAUGUGUGAUUAGUCGUUCGAUGCUUCACGCAUCGUGAAAGUCACUUCGAACCCGAUUUCACUCCCACGCGAAUAAUACUUCUCCAUGGCUGACAGACCGUACAGCGAGACUUUCCUUUCGCGCUUCUCAACGGUCGGAGAUGAGUAAUCCAGCAGAAGUUCAUCGAGCUGAAAAUCGGCCUGGUGUCCAGUCGAUCCGUUGGUCAGGAUACCGGAGCUUAAGAAAUUAUUCGAUGCUGAACUGAGACCGAAUGAAGCAAGGCCUAUCUCCCCCCACUGUCGGCGAAACGGGUCACUAGAAAAUUGGACUCAUCGUGUCUGGAUAGCCGUGUAACCGUCGCUCUCUGCACUGCGUCCAAGACAAACCGUGUGUGCGUAUCACUGUAGAGGAGUGCGGUGGACAGUGAAAUCCGCGAUAGUAUAACAGUCCAAGUGCGAAAGAUCUUUCGGUCAUCGACGUCACGUGGAGCUAUUCGUGUAAUCAGAAACUUUUCGAUCAACUCGAAGUGACAACUCGUUGAUAAAUUUGAUAAAAAGAUUAGACCGAAUACGGUACGAAGGCUCCGAGGCUCGGUUCAAAAAGGAUGACAACCGGCUAACGCGGGAACCAAGAAAAUCAGGAUCAUCGAUCAUCAUGAACUCCAUACAGCUGAUAGAAGGUGGUACCUGUACGAUUCUGCGGCUCGAUGAAGACAGCAAAUUGCUGGAUAUUGAGGCCGGCAACCCCGCGACCUCCAGACUUGUCAUCGAAUUCGCUAAUUUGAGCUACGCGGUUGACUGCGACACAGGUACUCAGAAGCAGAAACAAAUUCUUUGCUCAGUGGCCGGACAUUUUCGACCUGGUCGUUUAACCGCCAUCAUCGGGCCUUCAGGUGCUGGGAAGACUACGCUCUUGAGUAUAAUUUCCGGCCUGCGAGCCUCUAAACUCAAGGGGACGAUUACCAUUAAUGGCGUCGAGAGAAACAGGGAAGCCUUCCGAAGACAGGUCUGCUACAUACCCCAGGAUUUUGCACUAUUGCCCCUGCUUACAGUACGUGAGACUCUCCAAAUCGCUGCUGACCUGAAACUCGGAUCUUCUCAUACGGAUCACCUUAGAAGACGUGCGGUAAUCGAUAUUGCUAGCAAGCUGGGACUUCUGUCGAGUUUAGAUACAGCUGCAGGUAAUCUCAGCGGUGGUGAACGAAAAAGACUGUCUAUUGGAAUAGAGUUGAUAACUAACCCACCCGUAAUGCUGUUAGAUGAGCCUACGAGCGGAUUAGAUAGUGCAGCAUCAGGCCAGGUGAUUGCCCUGCUGCACUCACUUGCCGAGGCAGGUCGGACUGUGGUUUGCACUGUUCACCAGCCUGGCAGUCACAUGAUAUCCUUGUUCGAUGACAUCGUCGUCUUGUCUCGAGGACAAAUAAUGUACUGCGGACCGCGAGACCAAAUUCUCGACAGCUUUGCAAAGGCUGGUCACGUUUGUCCUCAGCUCUGUAACCUGGCCGAAUUCGUACUGGAUGUAGUUUCGACACCAAAGGAAAAUUUGAAGAGAUUGCGGGACGUGAGCAACGAAAAAUACGAGGCAGCCAGACUACAACUGGAAUCUACUCGCGGUCCUCAACUUAAGCACCAAACAUCGAACGGUUCCAGGCCACCGCCAGGUUAUUUUAACAAGGAGAAGGACGAAAUUUCGCGGAUAAGAACUUAUCCAGUGUCACACUGCAAACAAUUCCUCAUCCUUUUCAAAAGAGCGAUGAUCUGUAUACAAAGAGACAAUAUGUUGACAAAACUCAGAAUCGUUGCUCAUCUGAUGGUCGGACUUCUGGUUGGCAUUGUAUUCUAUGACUUUGGAAGCAACGCAGCCAGAUUUCAAAGCAACAACGCUUGCAUUUUUACUUCUCUGUUGUUUCUAUUCUUCGGUAACGCCAUGCCAGCUGUACAGAUGUUUCCAAUCGAAGCUGCAGUAUUUCUCCGAGAACACAUGAACAACUGGUACUCGUUGCAAUCGUACUAUAUGGCAAAAGUUCUAGCAGAUAUUCAAGUGCAGGUUCUCUGUCCAACCUGCUUUCUCAUCUUUGCCUACUGGCUAACGGGGCAGCCCCUUGAAUUGGACCGGAUAUGGCGUGUCUGGCUCAUCUGUGUUCUGUUGACGAUGCUCGCUCAGUCUUUUGGCAUUGCUGCUGGAGCUGCUUGCGGCUCACAGAAGUUUACAAUACGUGGGUUAAAAGUGUUAUUUCACACUGUAUCAGCGUCGCUGGUGCUCAGACAGCCGCGAAGGUCUCAAUUGACGUUAAUCAGGGUCAUAACUAGAAGAAUCGAGAAGCCAAAUUUGAAAUAGAGGUUCAGCUAAGCUGUACUAGCAGUUUAUACGACCGUAACGUUUACGGUUAAGAAUCUUCAGCAUACACCUACCUUUGAUACCAGUAUACUGCUGUUGGACGGUUAACAAUUUGUGGGCGUUUUUGUUGUACCAGCUUUGAACAUCCCGAUGUUUUUAUUUGCCGGAUUUUUCCUUAGACUUGGAGAAGUUUCGGCAUAUCUUCGGCCUAUUUGUAGCAUCAGCUACUUCCG